rnacentral:lncRNA from 1 species
CGCGCGCGAAGGCGGGGUCUCCCGGCAGCCCCGCCCCCGGCGCUGGGCGAGUGCGUCUGCGUGUGCGGCGCGCGCGGCCGGUGUUUCGGGCCUGCGGGGCGGGUGUGCGUGCCGAGGCCGCGGGGGCUUCCCGGCGUGUGGGUGCGUCUGGCUUUGGCCCCCACCUACGGAGGAAAGUUCCCCUCCCUGGCCCCGAAUUCCGGGGAGCUCCCAGUCCUUGAGCCGUUCCAGGUCGGCAUAUUCACCCGUAGCUUGGGGCUGUGCCCGGGACUCUUCCCGCCUCACCCGAGGUCCCGCACGGGUGUGGCCCCGAGGCUUUCCUGACACAGCAGGAACUCCGACGGCACCUGGCAAAGGAUCCCCAGCUGCAGCCUGGGUGUGUGGCUGGCUUCGAGCACUCCCCCGUUCCAGUUUCUUCAUGAAGGAAAAGUCCUCCUCUGCUCCCGUGGUGUAAAAGAGGGACGUUCCGGGCCCAGGUUCGAGUCCUACUGCACACUAGCCUCUGGGCACCAAAGCUCCAUGCUGAGGUCUAGGGAGGACAGUGGCAAGGCCAGGUGUUGGGGACACUCUGGGGAGCCCUGGCCAGCUCGCAUUUCCUGGGGCCUGAGGCAUGCAAGUGUUUGUAGAGCCUCACUCAGAGCUUGACGUAAACACACAUGCUUCCUCCAGAACCUUGUGUCUAUCAGUUCAGGUAGGUAACUAGUGGAUUUUAUUUUUAAAGAUUUUAUUUAUUUAUUCAUGAGAUACAGAGAGAGAGGCAGAGACACAGGCAGAGGGAGAAGCAGGCUCCCUACAGGGAGCCCAAUGUGUGACUCGAUUCCAGGAUCCUGGGGUUAUGCCCUGAGCCGAAAGCAGACACUCAGCCGCUAAACCACCCAGGUGUCUCCCUAGCAGAUUAUUUAACUUGGUGGAGACGGUGGGGACCCUGGGCUGGGUGGGUGAUCACAGCGAGA